UAUUUAUGCUAUUCAAGUAAAACAACAUGAACUUUGCCACAAAUUUGAUAGUCUUUUUUUUUUUUUUCAUUUCAAAGGUUCAAAUAGCUCAACUAAGCAGACAUGGAGCAAUGUCUAUGUAAUUUAACUGUAGAUAUGUUGACAACAUAAAGAGAAAUAACUCAAGUCACCCUUGAGGAGAUUAGAAGCUGUGAGUAUGCACGGCAGCAACUCAGGAGUACCAGAUUGCGAUAUGCUGAUACAUAAUAUAUGAAUGCUUAUCAUAGUUAUAAGUAUUUCGUUUUCCUGUUGUAAUGCUUGGACAUGUUUAAGCAUCCAAAGAGGCAUAAGCAAGCAGCACGUCAUUUUCUUCCAAGACUGACACGUCCAACUCAGAAUCUUUUAGUUUAACAUGUGCAUAUAUUCCAUUACCAUCUUCCAUGUCUAUUAAUAUCAACAUGUUGAGCCCUGAAGUGGUUGCUGGGUAUACCAGCGAAGGUGUUCCCAGCCAAAAUCAACGCCAUAAAAUGGAAACCUACACCAGCUUGAGCACGCGUAGAAGUCAGAGUUGUAUGUUUCAAUUGCUGCAGUCAGCGGUGCUGAAUGGGAUGCUUCUAGCUUACUAGUAAUGGCAUUGAUGUUUUCUGUGCACUCCUUGCAUACUUUUGUUUUCCCUUCCCUUAUUUUAUUAAUUAACUCUGGUAAUUUAACUUCAGCAUUGUUGUCAACUGAUGUCAGGAAGUAGGUAAAAAAAUUCCCAACUGAAUUUUGUGGAAGUGGAGGGACAAUUAUUUGUCGAAAAUUCACAGGAUGCCCGAAGAUUGAUUGGCGGAUGUGUGAUCCCGAGUUUGCCUUUGAUGCUGCAGAUAUAAAACAACUGUAAAGUAGGGCUGACACAACUUCAAACCGAGUAGGGUUUUCUACUCCUGAGUUAAGAGCAACAGCCUUGAGUUCUCCAAUUUUAGAAGCAUGGAACGCCAACAUCCUUUUCACGUGCUUCCCUUGAUUUAACUUAGGAGGAGAUGGUUUUGGAAAUUGCUGACCGUCAACAGGGGGGAACAGAGAAGCUCCAUGAAGAUGAGGAGAUGGGAUGUCACUCGUUUGACGAGCAAUUGCUGCCCAAUCAUUCAUGAAAGUUGAUACGCUGGAUGCAUCAGCAAUCCUGUGAUUUAUGGACACACUCAAUACUAUGCCUCCACAGUUGAAAGAACUGAGCUGAACAAAUACUAGGCUAUGAUGAUUCGCUAGGGCCGGCCCGGAGAAUAGAGAUCUAGCAAAGAUAAGAUCUUCCAUUUUUUCAGAACUUGAACUUAAUUGCUUGCGAAUCUCAGACACUCGACAAUUAAUUCGGCCUUCAGUAAAUUGAGCACCCAUGUCGUUGCAAUCAAUCAUAUAGCCGUUUUUCAUCAGCCUUCCGGCGAAAGGGUAAUACUGGGCAAGAGUUUUUGAGAGAGAACUUUUAAGCAGUUGUGAUAUUUCAUUGGCAAGCCAACGAGUUCCCUUAAUAUUAGGAUAGAAGAAAGCCACCCGGAUCAGAACAUAUGGUGAGAUUCCUUGAUCGAACAAUGAGAGCUUGUGGUAUCUCAAAGAAGGAGGAGUAGGUGAGGAAGGCUUGAUGAAUGUUUCAGAAAUUAUCUCAAACUGCAGCGAGGCAUCCAUCCUGAUGAAUAUUUGCUUGAAUGAAGGCCUAUAUGUCUUAUCAAUAAGCUUGUGCUGGCUUUGCUAACCUAUUACCCUUUUAUAGUGUGGUGAACAAUGGCAUUGUAUUUUAGGUAUUAACCUAAAAUACCUGUCCUUGGAAAAGUUACACAUCUCUUAGUACAUUGUCUUCCGAAAUACCAAUUUCUUUUAAAGUCUCUCCCUAUGGUACAAUUGUUUUACAGUCACUAAAAUACAAAAUUCAUCAUUACUUGAAUAAGAAAUGAUUUUAGAGUGCUUAAGCAAAUCAAACUCAAUUGCAUUUAACGAAAAAGGACCUCAUCAUAGAGGUAAGUUCUGCCUCCAUGGCUAUGGGUUUGGGCUUUGUCACCAAAUGUGAAGAACCAAUUCGUUUGUCCUAUUAAAUCUGUCACAGUUAUUAUUUUUCCAUGUCCAAAAUCGUUUGUUAUUUUCGAAAGUUCACUCUAAUCCCUUGUCUUCUUUUGUCAUAGCAUUCAGAUUCUGAAUUUUGAAGGAUAAAAUUGAGCAAUUGUAACUAUAAAUGCACAAUUUUCAAAAGCAAGUUAUUUAUCAUAGACAGAAUCUUACCCUUCUUCUCAGUACACAUUCAAUAGAUGACUUCAAGCUCUUCACCAACUGAUAAUUUGGCAGUAAUUGUAUGAAAAACUAGUAGAUUAAUAAAGUUGACUGCAUAUAUUAGAGCUUAAAUUAAAUAUUUAAAUUAAAAAUUUCUCUCUCUCUAUCUCCCUCUGCUUAAAAUUCUCAAGAAGCCAUCAGUCUAAACAUAGUUUUUCCAAGCCACUGGUGAAGAUUAGGCUACGCCGCAGUCCUACAUUGAUGAAAGAAAGAAGCUAGGAUGUGUUUAGACAACAGAAAAAAAAACCCCAAGAGGACCAAUUUCUUGUGCUAGGAUUCAUUUGUUUCCCUUCAGACCCAUAUAUAGCUGCUAUUUGUGUGCCUGAAGUCGGGCAAGUGGUGCUAACCUAACAAAUGGAAUAUAUCAUGCCUAGAUAAAGCCUGGAGAUAUACCUAAGGGCAACUUUGAUUAUUGUGUACCUAAGCUACUGUUGUUUUUCACGAUUAGGAGCAAGCAAAAGGCUGGAAAUAUUUACGAAAACCUUUCUUCUUGAUAGUUAAUCACGUAAUUUAUUCUUUUUCAAAUACUUGUCAUGUUAGACUUGAAUUGCCAGAUGAUUUUGCAUACAAAUCUAAAAUUUUCAAACCAGAAAGUUGAAUUCCAAGUCUGUAUAUUCAUUGAUAAUAAGCUAACUAGUGAAGGUUUCGCAUUCAUCAAUUUAAUUUUUUUUUGGGUUGAAUUUUUGGGAUUGUUGAGAUUAAAAAUUUCUUAUUCGAAAAGGAACAAUUACUAUAUCGGAUAAAAAUGAAAAAGAAAUUGGGAAUCACUAGGAAAGGCUAAGAACAUUUGAUGAAUUAUAUUAAUCCUCUUGGACUUGUUAAAUGGUGAUGGAGAACACAAAUCAAUUGAUUGGGAUGCAAUAGAUUUGAACUUGAAUAGGAUUCAUUAAAGACUUAAUAUUCUUUAAUUAAUGCAAUUCUUAGUGUGGCUGAUUGUAUGUUUUUUUUUUUUUUUUUUCUAAAGCAGGGCCAACUAUGUCGCUUUUACUGGAGCACAAAAGUUAUUUGAAAACAGUGAGGAUAAUUACAAAUUUUAGGCAUGGAUGAACUUUUUGAUGAAACUGAAGUUGUUGAACUUUUUGCAUGCUAAAUUUUGGCAUGAAAGAGAAUUUUUUCAAAGCUUUGCACAGGUUUCUAUCUUAAAUCAAGAUUAUUUUAUAAAAAAUGUCACAUAAUAAGAAAAACCUAAAAUCUUCAAAAGUGUAUUAAUUUAGUGUCAACUUCUACUGAAAUAUGUUACUUUAAAUAACAUGAAGGAAAAAAAAUCCUUACUUAUUGAGUGUAAGCAAUGGCCUCUUAUCAACUUCAACAAAUUAUAUAGCUCAGAAAAUGUGUGUCUAAUUGUUAUAUGUAAUUGGAAUUGUCUAAUCAAAAUAUUCUUAAACUACUUACCUGCAAUCACAUCCUGCCCCACCUUUCCCAUCUAAUCGCCACCCUCUCUAUUGUCUCACAGCUCCACCUCUCCUCCUCUACCCAUCUAUCCCCUCUCCUAUCCUUAUUUCCAUAUCUUGCAGCCCCACCUCUCUUUUGACUACAGAUUGCUUUCUCCCUGCUUACAGUACCACCUUUCCGCUUUCCUUCACUGCCAAGACCUAUUCUGUCAUUUUUCAUGCAUUUUUUCCUGUCAAAUACAAAUCCAAAUAACAAUAUGCAGCAAUAUUUUGAAUCCCGGGCCAACAAGUAAAGUGAAUGAGCUUUAACUUCAUAUUUCAACCCUGAUUCAAUGAUUAUAAAUUUUUUUAAUUAUGUAUUAUUAAAUUACUUGGAUAAAAUUAAUAUGUAAAAAAAGAAAAGAAAUAUUUAGUGACAAAAUGGUUCAGAGGCCAUUUUUUACUAGUUUUUGCUGGUUCGCCUAGUUCUUGAUUGGGUUUGAUCAGUUCAUCUAACUUCUAGAGUUAAAUAUAGAACCAAACUAGAACCAUGACCACCUUACGGUUCCAUUGGAUAAACUAGUUUUGGGUAUAAAUUUAGUAAAAUUCUUCCUCAAUGCAUGUUUUUUUUUUAAAAAAUGAAUAUAGUAAAAGAUCUUUAAGCACUUCCACGAAGGUGCCCUUGUUUGUUUACAUUCAAGUCAAUAAAAUAGUUCACUUCAAUGCUCACCCUUGUUAUAAUAGUUUUAUGUUGGACUUAUGAUUAAUUAAUUUUGACAUUCUAAUAAAUAUUGUUAUGAAUAGUUGAUAUGAUUAUAACAAUUUAAGGAAGAAAAGUGAAAGAAAACAAAAAGGAAACAUAUCAAAAACGUUUAUUCAUGAAGAGAAGAAACAAUGGUCUAAUUAGAAUUGUACUGUUGCUUCAAAACUUGCUAACAAAUUUGGAUGACGAAGGAAAAGCGACUAACUUUGAUGAAGGAAAGAAGCUACCCAGCAGGCCUACAUUGAUAAAGGAAAGAAGCUAUAGAGUAGAGAAAUUUUAGUAUGAGUUUAGACAACAGAAAAGAAAAAAUCCAAGAGGACCACUCUCUGGUGUUGGAUUCGUUUGUUUAAUGAGACCCAUAUAUAGCUGCUAUUUGUUUGCCUAAAGUCGAUUGAGAGUGUGUAAAGCCAACUUAAUCAAAAGCUUUAUCAGAUUUAAUGCUGGCAAGUAGUGCUAACCUAACAAAUGGAAUAUAUCAUGCCUAGAUAAAGCCUGGGGAUAUACUCAAGGGCAACUAUGUUUAUUGUGUACCUAACCUAUUGUUGUUUUUUACGAUUAGGAGCAAACAAAAGGUUGCAAAUAUUUACAAAAAGCUUUUUUCUUGAUAGUUAAUCACGUAAUUUUUUUUUCAAAUAUUUAUUAUGUUGGACUUGAAUUCCCAGAUGAUUUUGCAUACAAAUCUAAAAGUUUCAAACCAGAAAGUUGAAUUCCAACUAGGUAUAUUCAUUGACAAUAAGCUAACUAGUGAAGGGUUCGGAUUAGUCAAUUGAAUUUUUUUCUGGUGGAUAUACUUUUGGGAUUAUUCAGAUUGAAAAUUUCUCAUUCGGAAAGGGACAAUUACUGUAUCAAAUAAAAAUUAAAAAGAAAUUGGGAACUCAGCAGGAAAGGCUUAGAACUUUUGAUGAAUUGUAUUGAGUUUAUUUCCAAAGUAACCUUCUUUAGAAAAAAUAUUUCCAGUGUGAUGCUCUUUCACAAAUUACUACCUUUUUAAUCAUGAGACCUCAAAUCAACAGACCCCCCCCCCCUUGUUCCAAUGGAUAAUUUGACAAAUCUCCCCUAAGAUUUAUGACAAUUAUAUAGUUAGCUUCCUAAAAAAAUUAUACAUACCUUUCCAGAAUAGUAGUUUUGGGUUUUAUUUGGCUGAUGUAAGGGGAAAUAAUCAUGUUAAUACCUCAAAUUUCCCUUAAGGAGUUUUUAUGUUUAAAUCAAUUGUUCAAUGUAUAUAUUCUUGUUUAUCGCCUAUUCUAAAAUAGUUUCGCCUUAGGCCUAAAUCAUUUCCUCCACAUCCCUUUGGCCAUUUUUGCAAUUGUAUAUUUGUGUUUGCAAUUGUUUAUUAAACUUUGGUCAGAGACAAAAUUGAGAAUAAAUGGAAAGAGUGAGAGAUGGGUUAAUUAAAAUGCAUGAUUAAUACUAAAAUUUGUGAGACAUGGAGAUUUGGAUUAUGGAAAGGAUAGAAAAACUUGAAUAGGGGAAAAAAUGUGGAUUGAAACUGUGAUGGACAGAUUUUUGGUGAUACAUUUUUCAAGUUUGAUAGGCAUUUUAUUACUUUUUUCCCCUUUUUGAAAAAAUUGUGGCUAGAAUUUUUUGCAAAGUUUGGGAAGAUUGCUAUAGUCAUUUUGAGUCCUUAAAAAGCACAUUAAGUAUAAUAUUUGAAUGUAGAGGAGUGUAACAUGUAAUUAUCAGAAAGCUUAGAAGAGGUUUUUGAAAUUAUCCUUUGGUGUAAUACUAUUCAUUUUUUCUACCUCAUAAUUAUUAAUUUCCACAUUCACACUCGAAAUGCAAACACAAAAGCAAAAUUCAAGGAAGAAAAAUAAGAAAACCAAGGCAAUAAACAAAGGAAAAGGACUAGAUUUGAUUAACACUAAAAUAUUAUGAAACGAUUAUAGCAUUUCUUAUGAGUAACAAAUUUUUAAAAAAAUUAGUAAGGGAAUGAUGGGAUUUAAGGAACGGAGAGGGGAUAGGGGAUCAAAAUUUAGGAUCUUUAAUUCCUAGGAGUAACAUUGAUAAGUGAGUAUUUUGUGUGUUUUUAAUAUAUUUUAUUAUUUAGUUUUGCUAUGUUUUAUUCAUUUUUGUAGCUUAUGAACAAACUUUCUAGUGAAGUUAUGCAUUUUGUGGUUUAAGUAUCAAAAAUUGCAUUUCUAUGGAUUAAAGUGGUGAAAACUUCAUAUUUUUGUAGGUUUAAUGAUUCAAUCAUCAAAUGGAAUGAAUUGAGAAGAUAAUUGGAUGAUUGUUGAUGAUUUGAAAUGAUUUAAGAAGAAUAUGGGUGCCAAAUACUUGGGAUGACAUGCAAGCAAGUAUAAAAGAAAGGAAAAGUUUGACAUGUUUUGACACUUAUUGGUAUUUUGGUUAUAUCUUGAGUUACACGCAUUAGAUUGAGAUCAUUCUUAAACCAUUUUAAAGCUAACAUGUAGCUCUACAUUUCUUGUGAAGACAUCAAAUCCAGUUCAUGAGUUUUCUAGUUAAAAAUGUCAAAAUAUUGUCGGUGAUUUCUGUUGUCGAAAGUUGAAAUAGGGGAUUGACCAGUCAAACAUAGUUUGGUCAUUUAUCAGUCUAUAGAUCUCCAAGUUAGAUGAUUCCUAAUGAAUUUGAAAGCUAACUCAAAGGGAUACAACUUUCAUGUUUUGUGCAAGAGCUAUUUUAUCCUCUAACAUCGAAAAAAGAUCAAUUGUUGGUGAAAAAAUAGAGCAAAGUUGAAGACUGAUCAGAAUUGAGAAAACUUGCAAAAAAGGAAAACGUGGGACAAUACGUGACCUCAGCCCACAUUUUCUUCAAUUGUUCUGCAACUUGUGCUUUGUUCACGCAAGCUUUUUGACCCAUUUGUCAACAAGAAUUUUGGUGGAAAUAGACCAAGAAAGCUGCCAAAGAAGCUUUACAACUCAAAUCUAAUUUGUUUAUGGUUCAAGGAGAAUCUUAACAUGAUUUAACACUUUGUCUUUUGCAUAAAUUCCUCUAUAAAUAGAGUCCUUGGGAAACAUAUUUUUAGAACUUUGGAAGACUAGAGAUACUACUAAAAUGCAGUAUUCACUGGUUUUUCUUAGUUCAUUAAGUUAGUUUAUUAGUUUAGUAUAACGUAGUAUAGUUUCCAUUAUUUCUUGUAUUAGCUAAACUUGGAUGAGAUAGUGGAUGAAGAUGGAGAUGCUUGGAACUCAUGUGAUAAGGGUGACUUCUCUCCUACCUUUUUGUUUCUUGUUUUAAUUCUUAUGUUUAGCUAUAAUACAAGUUUGGUAUUUGUUUUCAUGUUUUAUUAAAGUUUAUGUUUAGAGUUAUGGAUGAACUUUCUGUAUAUUGUUAGUGAUAUUUACUUGGUUAUUUGAUGAUAUUAUUUUGAACAAGCUAUUUAGCACUUUUGCUCUUCUAAUCAUGUUUAACUGGCCAUUAAUUGUGAUAAUCUUAAGGUGUUAAGUUUGCAUCGAGAAUUGAGAUUUAACACUAGUUCAAGAAAGUGCUAAAUUUAGGGAGUUUACUCACGAGAGUAAAGGAGCACCUGUAUGGUUUUAGUGAAUUGUUUCAUGUAAUUUCAUUGAAGAAAUGAGCUUGUAGUUAAUUUUAUAAUUACGAGAGUAGGUAUGACUUAGUUACAAGUAUAAUUGAUUUACUACGAGAGUAGGUUUCACAUACAUGAAGGAAUUACGCCAUAACUAGAUAAGAUAAUAACAUUUAAUUAACCGAUGAUUUCACUUGCAAGAGUAGUAAAAAAUUUCAUACCUUUAGGAGCUUUCUAUUAUUAUUUGUAUUACGUUUAUCUCAUGUUUAUAGCGUAGAUUUAAUUUUUUGCACUUAUAAUAGUCUAAAUAAUAAAGGAGUUUGAAAACCAUCAGUAAUUAACAAUCUUCUCUCUGGAUUCGACCCUUAAUACCCUAUAUUCAAUCUCAACCUGUAUACUUGCAGAAAAUCACAUGUGGGGUAUUUAGAAAUUAUAAAUGUAAAACUCGAUUGAGGAAUGAGAAGAUAAUUGGUUGAUUUUUGAUGAUUUGAAGUAAUUUAAAAAGAAUAUGAAGUGCCAAAUACUCAAGAGAUGAAAAGCAAGCAAGUAUAAAAGAAAGGAUGAGUUUGACAGGUUUGACAUCUCUUGGUAUUUUAGCUAAAUCUUGAGUUACACGCAUCAGAUUAAGAUGAUUAUUAAAUCAUUUUGAAGCUAACACAUAGCUCUGCAUUUUUUAUCAAGACAUCAAAAUCCAGUUCAUGAGUUUUCCAAGACAUAAUGUCAAAAUACAGUCGGUCAUUUCUGUUGUCAAAAGCUGAAACAGGGGAUUGACCAUUCAAAUGUUUUUGGUCAUUUAUCAGUCUACAGACCUCCACAUUGGAUGAUUCUUCAUGAAUUUGAGACUAAAUCAAAGGAUUACAGCUUUCAUGUUUUCUACAAGAGCUAAUUCAGCCUCUAACAUCGAGAAAAUAUUAGUUGAAAUUGGCAGAAAAAUAGAGCAAAGUUGAAGACUGACUAGAAUUGAGAAAACAUGCAAUGGAGGAAAACGUGGGAUAAUAUGCGACCUCAACCAUGUUUUCUGAGGUCGUGUUUUCUUCAAUUGUGGCUGCAACUUGUUCUACAACUUGUGCUUUGUUCACGCAAGUUUUUUGACCCAUUUUUCUACAAGAAUUUCGUGGAAACAGACCAAAAAAGUUGCCAAAGAAGUUUUACAACUCAAAUCUAACUUGUUUAUGGGCUCAAGGAGAAUCUUAACAUAACUUAACACUUUGUUUUAAUUUGCAUGAAUUCCUCUAUAAAUAGGGCCCUUGGAGACCAAUAUUUUUAGAACUUUGGAAGGUUAGCGACACUACCAAAAUGCAGUCUUCACUAUUUUCUUAGUUCAUUAGUUUAGGUAGGUUAGUACAGUUUUUAUUCUAUCUUAUAUCAUGCUAAGCAAGGAUGAUGAUUGAGGUUUGAAGAUGGAGAAGAUGUUGCUCACAUGUGACAAGGGGUUCCAUUUGUUCAACUCUUUAACUCUUGUAUUUGAAUCUUAUGUUUAGUUAUAAUACAAGUAUGGCUUUUUCUUUCUUUUCUUCAUGUUUAGCUAAAGUUUAUGUCUAGAGUUAGGGAUGAACUUUCUAUAUCUUGUUUGUGAUAUUUAUUUGAUUAUUUGAUGAUAUUAUUUUGAGUAAGUUAUUUAGCACUUUUGCUUUUCUAGUCAUGAUUAACCGGCCAUUAAUUAUGAUAAUCUUAAGGUGUCAAGUUUGCUAUGAAAUUGAGAUUUAACACUAGUUCGAGAAAGUGAUAAAUUUAGGGAGUACACUCAUGAGAGUAGAGGUGUACCUUUGUGGCUUUAGUGACUUGUUUCAUGUAAUUUCAUAGAAAUAAAUGAACUUGUAACUAAUUUCAUAACCACGAGAGUAGGAAUGGUUUAGUUAUAAGUAUAGUUGAUUCACUACAAGAGUAGGUUUCACAUACAUUAGCAAAUUACGUCAUAACUAGCCAAGAUAAUAACAUUCGAUUAAUCGGUAAUUUCAUUUGCAAGAGUAGUUAGGAAUUCCAUACAUCUAGGAGUUUUCUAUUGUUUUUUGUAUUACCUUAUCUCAUGUUUAUAGUGUCGAUUUAAUUUCUUGCAGUUAUGAUAUUCUAAAUAAUAAUGAAGUUCGAAAAAUAUUGGUAAUUGACAAUCUUCCUUAUGGGAUUAAUCCUUAAUAACCUAUACUCAAUCUGGAUCGGUAUACUUACAGAAAAUCGUAUGUGGGCUAUUUAGAAAUUUAUAAAUGUAAAACUUGACUGUGAAAUAAGUUUAAUUGUUAUAUGCAUACCCUGUGCCCGUCAAACAUGAUAUUCCCUCUGUCCCAUUGAAAAUGUUAUACUUUUCAUUUUGAAAUGUUCCAAAACAUUUGUUAUAUUGGAAAAGUCAAAACACCUUUUAGUUUCUCUUACCAAUAUAGUCCUUUUUUCUAAUUAUAUGCAUGUUACCAUUCAAAUUUAAAAUUUGAAUUUGUAGGAGUAAAAUUGAAAAGACAAGUACAAAUAUCACUAUCAAAUCACUAUUUUUAAAAAGUUGGAUUCUCCAAUUAAACUUGACCAAAUAAUUGGGACGGAGGGAGCAGUAUUAUUCUAAAAGCCCAAUAUCGAAUCUUAUUGGCUUUGUGAGGAUCCGAAUUUUAAUUUUUCUUACUUUUAUUUUAUUUUACUGGUUUCUUUAAUUAUUUAUUCACCCGUUUAUUCCGAAUAAUUUAUUUCAUUCAUUUUAAAUCUAUUUACAUGGAACAAUGUCUCAUUGAUAUUUUUAAAAUGUUUCGUUAGUGAAUUUAAUUUUUCUGCAACUCGUUUAGCGAGAAAUAGUGAAUGCACAUUUUUUGAGAUAAAUUCAAUCCGAAAGUGCAUUAAUCUUAGAGAACUAAGGAUGAUUAAUAUUAGACUAAGGAAAGUUAAUCGAGAGAUUAGAUGUGAGUGAGUUAAAUUAAGUUCAAUUAAGAGUACUAAUUGCUCACUAAUCGGUUGUUGACUUUUGAGUACUAAGACCACUUUUAUGUCAUUCCUCUUGUCAUUCAAUCAACUCACCACCUACCAACCAAAACCCAUUCCUUCUUCCUCUUGCUUGGCCGACUUUCCCCUUCCCAUAAAAAAUUUCAGCUUUUGUCUUCCAUUUUUGCUCCACAAAAGCUCUCCAAAUUUGCUUCUUGUCUUGGGUCUUCAUACAAGUUUGGAAGGUGACUUGAUCAAAGAAGAAACUUGGUGAUUUAAGAGCUCAAAUCCUAGUGUUUAGUCUUCAUUUUGGCAACAAGGUAAUCAUCCAAGAAACCCUCAACUUUUCCUCUCAAAUCUUAGUAGUAAGUUAGUUUAGUUAGUUUAUUUGUUGGGUUGUUGAUGGGUUCACAAGAACCUUGACAUUAGAUAGUGAACUUGAGGUGGCUUUAUAAGUAGAGGCCUUGAGAAUUUUGUAUGUUUAAUUGCUUGUUUGUUACUUGCUUUGAUGAGAUAUGGUGUAGUUCUAAUUGGAAAGUUGAAAAAGAAAGCUAGAGGAUGAGAAAUGCUUGCUGGCGAAAUUUGCUGGUUGUUCCUCUCUUAAUUUCAAAUUUUUGAUGUUAUUUUGGUACAAUAAUGCUUGAUAUACGAUGGUGGUUAUGUGUGUUGAAUAUCAUCCAAAAAACUUUCCAAUUGGUUGUGUCAAAGUAGGGUUAAAGUGAGGUUGAAAUCUGGAAUUUUUUUGAUCAGGUGACCCCAACCAGUGUUCACUUUUUUGUCAUAACUUUUUUUCUGAGAGCUGAAAUCGAGUGCCAUUUAUGGCAUCCAAAACUAGACUCCGAUAUUUUUUCAUUGGUAUAAAAUGCACCUCCUAAUUCGUUUCCUAUGAGCCGUAGUGAACCAGCAAAAAUAACUGAAAUUCUUCACUGCAUUCAUCGAGAAACAGUCUUAGCUGCAAUUAGUAGCUCAAUUUUGCCUAUUUUUUAAAAUGAAUUUUAAGACAGUUCCUUCUAAUAAUUUUUAGAAUUUUGAAUCUAGUUUUCAAUGCCAUAAACCACACUAAAUUUCGAGUUGCAUACUCUAGUUAUGAUCAGAUUCUUAAACUCUAUCAAGUAUGUCAGAACUGGAAUUUCGUAAAACAGGUUCUAAAAAUUAGUUUUCUUAGAACUGUUGUAUCUUGGUGUAGAAAAGUCCGAAUUGAGUUUCGUUUGUUGCAUUUGAAACUAGAUUUGGAUUUUUAAUUGUGGUACAAAUUUCAAGGGCUGAUUCCAUUUCUACGAAUUUUGUCGAAUUUCCAAACUUCACUGAAUUUACAAGCCUGUUUUGCUCUGUCAUGUCUAGAAUAGUGACUUGAACUAAAAUUUGAAUGACUUCAAAUUAGAGUCUGAGUAAAGUGUGUUCUAGAAAGUUUUAGUGAUUUAAGUCUAGUUUCCAACGGUAUAAAGUUUUCAAUUUUUGGACUUACGGAACUCGAGAUACGAUUUUUCCAAGUAGUGCCGCUCUGAGCUGGAAAUUUCUGAUUUCAAACAAAUACUCUUUUUAAGAACUUUCCACAUUCCUUCGCAAUUGUUGGACUGUUUUAAGUUUAAUUUCAUGAUUAGGCACAAAGUCUCUUUGAAUUUUAAACUUUCAUUUUGAAUCUUGGUUUCAAAAGGUUAAACUUCUCUUAAUACGUUUUAUUGGUUGUUCAACUUCCUUGGUUGAUGGCACCUCUUUUCAUAUUUAAAAAAUGAAUUAUGGGUAAAAUACACUAAACCCCCUUGUGGUUUGGGUUAUUAUCAUAAAGCCUCCUCAUUAUUUGAAAACCCCCAAAGAACCCCCUCGUGGUUUGGACUAAUUUGGGUAAUGGACGGAAAUCGUCCAAUUGACGGGAAGUGAAUUACACACGCUUGACAAGCGAGUGUGAUAACAAUACAUCAAGGGUAAUGUGGUAAUUUUACAUUUUCUUUUCUUUUCCUUGUUCUUCCUUUUUUCUUCUUUCUCCUGAACUGAACCAUCUGGAGUAGAAAAACUGAAGCAAAAUCAACACCAACCUUUGUUAAUCCGGUGACACCCGGCAAAAGAUUCCACCAACGGAAUCCAGUAUUUGCUUCAACCCUUCACCAACCGAAGCAACCCAACACCUCAACCUUCAAACUCCUCAAAGCCUAAAACCAUCUGCUUUUCCCAGUUGUUAUAACUUGCACCACCAAUUUGUAAUUACAAGUUUCUACUAGAAGGGGGAAAAAAAAUUUCCCGAACUCCUUCAGAAUCAUCAUCAUCUACCAAAGUACAAUUAAACUGGUCGGCCCGAUACCUGCCCGGAGGCUGACGUGACCCAGACCCGUAAGCUCAACCGGACCCAGAGAAACCCGAGGACGAGACCACCCACAAAUGCGAAAAUCAUCAUCAUCAUCAUCAUAUAAGGGUACCAAUAGUACCGUGGGUUAGUUGUUAAUUUGUGUCAAACGUCCACUUUAGGGCUGGCUGCUUGGUGAAAUUGAGGUUAUUGUUGUUGCCCCCGGAAGCGGAAUAAUCGAAAUCUACGACAAGGGAUUUCAACCAAGUAAACUUACGAAAAAUUGUGGCAGAUAAUCCAGCACCAGGUAGUGAUCGAAGGCACAAUAGGGUGGCGAAAAUGUCCACAUGACGGAGUCAUAGGCUGCCGGCUGAAGAAACACCAUAGGAUAGGUGACAGCAUGGACCAGUUUGCCGGGAAAAGCAGCCAGUCGGAGUGUGGGAUCACGUUGGAUAAGUGAGAUCUGAACAGGGAUUUUGAAAGAAACAGAUUCGGAUUUGUAAACAAGAGAAGAGAAUCUUUUGGAGACUAAAGGAACACCUGCAGAGGUAUUUGGCUUCAAAAACUUUGUCAAGAAUGACGAAACUAUUGCAUCUGGUAAUCGCUUGAAUGGAUCAACAAUUUCUUUUCCUCGAUGUUCUUCUGCAGCAGCUGCUCCAAAUUUUUGAAAUUUUCAAAUGAGCCACUUGAUGUUUCUUUAUUCUCAAAUGAAGUGAGAAAGUUUCUAAAAUCUUAUGUAAAUCUUGAACUAAUUUUUAGUAUAGAUUGAAACAAGGUUAAUAUAGGAAUUUCAUAUUUUUCGUUAAAUUGGACGAUUUCCGAACAUUGCCCAAAUUAAUCCAAACCACAAGGGGGUUCUUUGGGGGUUUUCAAAUAAUGAGGAGGCUUUAUGAUAAUAACCCAAAUCACAAGGGGGUUUAGUGUAUUUUACCCAAUGAACUUCAACCCCUAGUUUUAUGCUCUCGAUUUUCAUGAGUUUGAACUUUUAAAAGGGAGUUUUUGACUAGAGUAAAUCUUGGAGAAAUUUCACUAGUUUUAUACUUGAAUCUUGGAACCUUAGCCUUGACAUUUACUAUGAAUAUGAGUGGACUUUUGGGCGAGUUUGGACUCCAUUAGUUUGAAAAUGUGAACAUUUUUUAUAUUUUAACUUUUGGAUCAUGAGAUUUGAAGUUUUGGGAGAUGAAAACCAUUUACCCUUUUCCAUGAUUUUCAUGCCGAAGGUGAAACGGUACUUUCUCUUGGAUUGAGAUUUACUUACCACGACUUGAAUAAAAAACGACCUUCGAGCUCCUUUUGAGCAUUAUUCCAAUGUUUUAGCUAGAAAAACUUUUUUAAGUUGACUCGAACUUGUGACCUUGAGAGUGGGUAGCGAGAAAAUGUCUUUCUUAUUAACCUUGGUCGAGCACCUAGGUAAUGGCGAUUGUACAUGUCUCAGGUGGUCACGAGAACGCUGAAGAGCUCGUCUGACUACUCGCUUCACUCUUGUUUUGCCCUUGACUUGUGGUGAGUGUCAAAUGCAUAUUAAAUGUUUAUGUGUUUGAAAUGAUAUGUGUACAAGUGUUAGAUAUGAUACGUGAAACUUGCCGAGGCGAGGGUGUACUUUAUAGCCCUCGUCCUCUCUCUUUCCGAUUACAUGAUACUUGUUACAUGAAUAUAUAUGACUUAUACUUAUACAUGAACAUGUUUUAACUCGUGAGCACUGGGCAGCUAGAAGUAUCACGCCCUAUUCGGGUAGGAGGUACCACUCACCCCGACUCAGUGCUAUGAUCGACUCAAAGUCGAUUGGAGCGUUGUCUCGUCGACCAAAUACAUGUGUGGGGACGCCCUAACCCAUUGGCUAACCUUGUAACUCGAGUCGACAAGAGUUUGGUCGAGAAGCUUGGUGAACCUUGAAAAUAAUAGCUUGAUCUUUGAGAUCUCGUUUGGCAUACUCGAAUAGUAUUGCCACUCUUACAUGUUUGGUUCCGGAUCCGAGAGGGUGUUAUGUUGGUGGAAGAAAUAAGUGGAGCAUUAUGGUCAGGUUACUACUUGGGUUGACAGAGGGUUAACUCCCGAAGGCUCAACUGAUCGAGACGUGGAAAUAGCUCUUGAGAGCUCCUGUAUCCUUCUUGUGUGUUAAAUUCCUACUUGUGCAUUUAAAUGAAAUGUCAUGUUUAAAGUUGCUUUUAAGCAUGUUAUUUGAUUGAUUGGUGUUACUUGCUUGCCUGUUUAUUUUCUUGGCCUCACUGAGCGUCAUUCGCUCAUCCCAUUAAGUUUGUUUUCCUUAACAGGCUUUGGAGGUGUAUUGGUGGCUCUAGACUAGGACUUGGUGGAUGCUACUAUACCUUUUGUAUGAACUUUUGAUGGUUCUUUAAGUGUAAUUUUGUUAUUGUUGGUUGGUGGAUUGUAAUCGUAAUUGUUAACCCUAGAAGUUAUGACUUGUAUAUUCGAAGUACUUUUAUUUAGGUCGAUGGUUGUUUUGUGGCUCUAUAUUAAGUUUGAACGAGUGCGUGAAUCCUGACAAGAGUUGUGCAGGCGUUCGCUGAUACCCUAGGGAGAGGUGGAUGCGUCACAAUUGGUAUCAGAGCGCUAAGUUUGAAUUACCUGGAAUAGGGGUAGGAGUCCUUAGUCGUGAACUUUUGGCCAUAGAAACCCGUGGUAGACCUUAGGUUAAAUUUUUAAAUGGUACCAGUGAAUGUACGGACCUAAUCUUUAGUUGUGGGUUAUUUGUAGGAUAUGAUAGCAGCAGUGAUGACGAUAGUGUUGAGAGACCUCUCCCCGUGAUUCCGUAUCGCAUGGUUGGAGGCGGCCCUCUUUUGCAAUACUCACCUGCUAGACGGGGUAGGUCAUGUUCAUACCGAGCGAAAUACUCUUACCCUAACCGCUUGGUAUUAGAGGUAGCGAAGAGUGGAGGCAGUUGACUCAUGACUUCCGGAGAGUACUAGAGAGAGAGAGGAGAUGGAGGCCACUAUGGAGGCUCAGGCUGCUCGAAUUCAGGAGUUAGAAGAUAGAAAACUAGAGGAGCAUCAGAGGGCUGAUGCCUCCCAUGCACAGUUUCAGAAAAUUGAGAGGCGCCUUAUCCGAGUUGUCCAGGAGGCGGGGAACCACGUGGAUGGUAUUAUGGCCGAGCGUCUAGAGGAGGCUUUGCUUAGGGAUGUACCUGGGGAGGCUGCACCUGCUGUGGAGAUAGAAGUGGAGCUGAUAGAGGAGGACCCUGAGAAGGACCCUCCUGAGGCUGUAGGAUCUUCUAAUUCGGUUCACUUGUAUUAGUGACUCCCCGACCCCUUGAUCUUUUGACUUUUGUUCAGGACUUAGAACGGGUGAAUUUUGCUGCGAGGCCUUUUGUAUUUGUGCAUGUACCCCUAUAUUUUGAGGCACUUAGAUGUCUAUGUCCUGUAUCUGAUAUUAUUGACUCAUUGUAUGGACUCUUAACAUGUGACAUAACUUCUAAUCUAUGUAAAUAUCUAUGCUUUGGUUUUAAAGCGUUCUUGCAAUAUGUAAUUGUUUUCAAUUUAUAUGCUUAUAUUUUUCUCUUUUAUUUUGCGUUUAAAGUCUUGCUAGAUGGAUCGGCGAGGACGUGAACGGGGGCGUGGGCAUGAGGUUCAGCAACCCCGCACUCCCGAGAGAGGUGAGGGAUCUGCGACUGGUCCAAACCAAAACCCUAGGAACAAGGAGGGUGACCAAGUGGCUACGGCUAUUAACCGCAUAACCGAUGUCCUCGAGCGUUUAGUUGAGCGUUAAGGACCUGAACCAGUCAACGAACCUAGGAGUUAAGAGAGGGGUGAGGAUAGAACCUAGAGCGAUUCUUGAAACUCUCUCCACCUAGGUUUCAUGGAGGGUUUGAUCUCGAAGCAGCAGAAAAUUGAUUUGAGAGGAUAAUAAGGCACUAGUGAGAGCAAAAGAUUGGGGAUUCUUCUUGAGCAACUUUGUAAGUGAGUAUUGGAGAGUGAGUUAGGGUGUAAAACUUUUAUAUAUUAAGGAAUAUGAUUUCUAUUUUGUUAUGUUUAUAAGUGAUGAUAGUAAUCCUUGUGGAGACUCAAGAGCUCGUCCAUAUUAAACAGAGAUUAGUUAAGAUUUAUACUCUAAGGUAACUUGUACGUAAAAAAAUGGAAAAGUAAUAUGACCAGAGUUUCCCAUUAUGAAUAGUUACUUACUUCGAUUCUCUGAUUUGUCUGGCAGGCUAGCAUUUGAUUUGAGCCAAUCGGUGAGAUGCCAAAUUUGGCAGAGAUGCAUAAGGAAAUAGACAUUCUUCGAAGGGAGGUAGAAUUUCAAAAGAAAUUAGCUGACUACUGGGAAAGACGAUGGAAAUAAUAAUAUGUGGAGAAAAUUGAGUUGCUACACAAGAAAGUGGAACUAAAAAAGAAAUACAAAGGAAAUUCUCAAAUUGGUCAGGUCGUGACGUCUCGUGUGGCUUGUGGAUACUGUGACAAGUUUAACUACACUGAGGCCGUGUGCUGGAAAAAGCAAGGAAAAUGAGCUGUGGUAGUACCAAACAUCGGGUUUCAAGUUGCCCUAGUACUCUAAAAAGAGGAAAUACUCAGCAGUCUGCUAAGUCUGCUGCAAAGCAGUCGAGUGCUAGAGGGAGUAAUUAAUGUUAAUGACUGUAAGAGGGAUCCAAGUAGUGAAAGCUUUGCGAGUGGGGAUGGUUCUGACUCCACUCGAGGGAUUGGGGUUGUAGUUUUAUCCUAACUUAGGCUGACACUUUUAGAGGUUGUAAUCUUUUGUAUAGGGGAUAAAGUCCUUUUGUUGUUUUGUAUAUUUACGACUUAGCACGUUUUCCUAUGAUUUUGUGUAUCUCCCCUUUCUUUUGAAAUGAUUUGAUGAAAUUAUCCUCACUUGGUGUAACUAUUAUGAUCUUUUAUGACACAAAAAAUUUACUUUGCUUUAAUUGAUUUUACGGCUUAUAUAUAUAUAUAUUUGAUUUAUUGUCCCGUACCUUUAGACCUAUAAUAAGAUCAUAAACAUCAACCGAUGAUAGUUUUACAAACCCUGAGAGAGCGCCAAUUUUUUGCUAAAUUCAAUAAAUGUGAGUUUUGGUUGGAAGUAGUAACCUUUCUAGGUCAUAUAACCUCUAAGGAAGGAAUUACUGUGGACACAACUAAAGUAGAAACUGUUUCUAAGUGGAAAUGACCAGAAAAUCCUAUCGAAAUUCAGAAUUUAUUAGGGUUAGUGGAGUAUAACCGUUGAUUUAUCAAGAACUUUUCUAAAAUUGCCAAACCCUUAACCGAGUUGACUAAGAAGCAUGACAAAUUCAUAUGAAAUCCUAAAUGUGAGAAAGGAUUUCAAGAGUUGAAAAAGUGCUUAACUAAGGUACAUGUGUUAGCAUUACCAAGCGGAGGAGAUGGUUUUGUGGUUUACACAGAUUCUUCAAAGGAUGAUUUAGGAUGUGUAUUGAUGCAAAAUAGAAAGGUAAUUGCGUAUGCCUCCCAUAAGUUUAAACCUCAUGAGCAGAAUUAUCCGACCCAUGACUUGGAGUUAGCGGCAGUAGUGGUUGUCUUGAGAAAGUGGAGACAUUAUUUAUAUGGAGUGACUUUCGAAGUUUUCAUGGAUCAUAAAAGUUUUAAGCAUUUGUUCUCCCAGAAAGAGUUCAAUUUGAGGCAACGUAGAUGGGUAAAAUUUUUGGAAGAUUAUGACUGUAUGUUUAGCUACCACCCUGAAAAAACUAAUGUAGUGGCGGAUGCCCUAAGUUGUAAAAUGCAAGUGGCCAGUUUAAUGGUAAGAGAAUGACACAUGUUAGAAGAAAUUAGUGUUUGGAAUCCGCAUCUUGAGCCACAGAGGGUAAUUUUGGGAAUAUUACUGUGAGAUCCACCUUGUUAGAGAGAAUCAAAGAAGCUCAAAAAGGAGACCCUGCAGUGCAAAAAUGGGUUGAGAAAGUUCCAAAGGGGAAAAGUUUGACUAUAAUUUGGGGACCGAUGGAGUGUUAAAGUUUAGAAAUCACAUAGUGGUACCCAAGGAUAAAAGUCUAAAGAAAGAAAUUUUGGACGAAACUCACCGUUCUAAGUAUACGGUACACCCUGGAGGUAAUAAGAUGUAUCAAGACUUGAAAAUCCUUUAUUGGUGGGAGAAUAUGAAGAGAGAGAUUGCUCAAUUUGUUCGAUCUUGUCUCACUUGUCAACAAAUUAAGGCCGAGCAUCAGAAAAUAUCUGGAUUAUUACCGCCGUUAGAUAUACAUGAGUGGAAGUGAAAAAAUAUCACAAUGGAUUUCGUAUUAGGGCUACCAAGGACUCAGAGAAGGCACGAUGCUAUUUGGGUAAUAGUUGAUCGAUUGACCAAAUAUGCUCACUUUUUGCCGAUUAGUUUGAAGUACUCCUUGGAAAAAUUGGCUAAAUUGUACUUGGAUGAAAUUAUGAAAUUACAUGGGAUACCAAUGAGUAUAGUCUCAAAUCGGGACCCUAGGUUUGUAUCUCGAUUUUGGCAAAAAGAUGCAAGAGAGUUUGUGGACUAAACUGAAUUUUAGUACCGCUUACCACCCGCAGACCGAUGGACAAUCGGAGAGGACAAUCCAAACCCUAGAGGACAUGUUGAGGUCGUGUAUUGCGAAUUUUGGAGAAAAUCGGAGACAGUACCUUACGUUGGUGGAAUUUGCUUAUAAUAUAAUAGUUUUCAUUUCUUGAUACAAAUGGCUUCUUACGAAGCUCUUUAUGGUCGAAAGUGUCGAUCUCCGAAUCAUUGGGACGAAGUUGGAGAAAAGAAGAUUUUGGACUCGACUACUGUACCUUGAGUUGAGGAAACUUAUGAAAAGGUGAAAUUAAUUUGUUAGAGGAUUCGAACGGCUCAAAGCCGGCAAAAGAGCUAUGCGAAUAAUCGGAUGAAAGAUUUAGAAUUUGAAGUUGGAGAUAAAGUAUUCCUUAAAAUUACACCCUUGAAAGCAAGUCUAAUGGCGGGAAAAGGGAAGAAAUUGCAACCGAGAUUUGUGGGACCCUAUAAGGUUAUUCAACGCGUAGGAAGUGUAGCUUACAAGUUGGAAUUGCCUUUAUCUAGGAUUCAUAAUAUCUUCCAUGUUUCCAUGCCUAAGAAAUAUCAUCCCGACCCAUCCCAUGUGUUACGAUCGGAAGAAGUAGAGAUUGAUGAGAAUUUGUCCUAUGAAAAAAGGCCGGUAAAGAUUUUAGAUCGAAAGGUGAAGAAGUUAAGCAAAUCUCUCCAGUGAAGAUUUUAUGGAGAAAUCAUAGAAUGGAAAAAGCAACUUGGGAAGUAGAAGAGGAGGUCCAGAAGAAAUAUCCAGAGUUGUUUCUAAAUCAAGGUAUGAAUUUCGAUGACGAAAUUCUUUUAAAGGGGGAAGGAUGUGGAGGACCCGAAUUUUAAUUUUUCUUACUUUUAUUUUAUUUUACUGGCUUAUUUAAUUAUUUAUUCACCCGUUUACUCCGAAUAAUUUAUUUCAUUCAUUUUAAAUCAUUUACAUGGAACAAUAUCUCAUUUAUAUUUUUAAAAUGUUUCGUUAGUGAAUUUCAAUUUUCUGCGGCUCGUUUAGCUAGAAAUUGUGAAUGCACAUUUUUCGAGAUAAAUUCGAUUCAAAAGUGCAUUAAUCUUGGAGAUCUAAGGAUGAUUAAUAUUAGACUAAGGAAAGUUAAUCGAGAGAUUAGAUAUGAGUGAGUUAAGUUAAGUUCAAUUAGGAGCACUAAUUGCUCACUAAUUGGUUGUUGACUUUUGAGCACUAAGACCACCUUUAUGUCAUUUCUCUUGUCAUUCAAUCAACUCAUCACCUACCAACCAAAACCCAUCCCUUCUUCCUCUUGCUUGGCCGACUUUCCCCUUCCCAUCAAAAAUUUCAGCUUUUGUCUUCCAUUUUUACUCCACAAAAGCUCUCCAAAUUUGCUUCUUGUCUUGGGUCUUCAUACAAGCUUGGAAAGUGACUUGAUCAAGGAAGAAACUUAGUGAUUUAAGAGCUCAAAUCCUAGUGUUUAGUCUUCAUUUUGGCAACAAGGUAAUCAUCCAAGAAACCCUCAACUUUUCCUCUCAAAUCUUAGUAGUAAUUUAGUUUAGUUAGUUUAUUUGUUGGGUUGUUGAUGGGUUCACAAGAACCUUGACAUUAGGUAGUAGACUUGAGGUGGCUUUAUACGUACAGGCCUUGAGGAUUUUGUAUGUUUAAUUGCUUGUUUGUUAUUUGUUUUGAUGACAUAUGGUGUAGUUCUAGUUGGAAAGUUGAAAAAGAAAGCUAGAGGAUGAGAAAUGCUUGCUGGACGAAAUUUGCUGGUUGUUCCUCUCUUGUUAAUUUCAAGUUUUUGAUGUUCUUUUGGUACAAUAAUGCUUGAUAUACAAUGGUGGUUAUGUGUGUUGAAUAUCAUCCAAAAAGUUUUCUAAUUGGUUGUGUUAAAGUAGGGUGAAAAUGAGGUUGAAAUUUGAAAUUUUUCUGAUCAGAUGACUCCAACCAGUGUUCACUUUUUUGUCAUAACUUUUUUUCUGAGAGCUUAAAUCAAGUGUUGUUUAUGGCAUCCGAAACUAGACUCCGGUAGCUUUCCAUUGGUAUAAAAUGCACCUCCUAACUUGUUUCCUAUGAGCUAUAUUGAACCGGCAAAAAUGACUGAAAUUCUUCACUGCAUUCAUCCGUGAAACAGUCUUAGCUGCAGUUUGUAGCUCAAUUUUGGCUAUCUUUCAAAAUGAAUUUUAAGACAGUUCCUUCUAGUAAUUUUCAUAAUUUUAAAUCUAAUUUUCAAUGCCGUAAACCACACUAAAUUUUGAGUUGCGUAGCUCUAGUUACGAUCAGAUUCUUAAACUCUGUCAAGUAUGUCAGAACUAGAAUUUCGUAAAACAGGUCCUAAAAAUCAGUUUUCUUAAACUGUUGUAUCUUGGUGUAGAAAGGUCUGAAUUUAGUUCCAUUUGUUGCAUUUGAAACUAGAUUUGGAUUUUUAAUUGUGCUAUAAAUUUUAAGGACUGAUUCCAUUUCUACGAAUUUUGCCGAAUUUCCAAACUUCACUGAAUUUGCAAGCCUGUUUUGCUCUGUUCUGUCUAGAACAGUGAUUUUGAGCUAAAAUUUUAAUGACUUCGAAUUGGAGUCUGAGAAAAAUGUGUUGUAGAAAGUUUUAGUCUUUAAGUCUAGUUUCCAAUGGUAUAAAGUUUUCAAUUUUUGGACUUACGGAACUCGAGAUACGAUUUUUCCAAAUAUUGCCGCUCUGAGCUGAAAAUUUCUGAUUUCAAACAAAUACUCUUUUUAAGAACUUUCCACCUUCCUUUGCAAUUGUUGGACUGUUUUAAGUUUAAUUUCAUGAUUAGGUAUAAAGUCUCUUUGAACUUUAAACUUUCAUUUUGAAUCUUGGUUUCAAAGGAUUAAACCUCUCUUAAUACGUUUUAUUGGUUGUUCAACUUCAUUAGUUGAUGGCACCUCUUUUCAUAUUAAAAAAAAUGAACUUCAACCCCUAGUUUUAUGCCCUCGAUUUCCAUGAGUUUGAACUUUUAAAAGGGAGCGUUUUGACAAGAGUAAAUCUUGGAGAAAUUUCACUAGUUUUAUACUUGAACCUUGGAACCUUAACCUUGACAUUUACUAUGAAUAUGAGUGGAGUUUUGGACGAGUUUGGACUCCAUUAGUUUGAAAAUGUGAACAUUCUUUAUAUUUUAACUUUUGGGUCAUGAGAUUUGAAGUUUUGGGAGAUGAAAACCUUUUACCCUUUUCCAUGAUUUUCGUGCCGAAGGUGAAAAUGGUACUUUCUCUUAGAUUGAGAUUUACUUACCAUGACUUGAAUCAAAAACGACUUUCGAGCUCUCUUUGAGCAUUAUUCCAAUGUUUUAGCUAGAAAAACUUCUUUAAUUUGACUCGAACUUGUGACUUUAGAGUGGGUAGCGGAAAAAUGUCUUUCUUAUUAAUCUUGGUCGAGCACCUAGUAAUGGUGAUUGUAUAUGUCUCAGGUGGUCACGAGAACGCUGAAGAACUCGUCUGACUACUCGCUUCACUCUUGUUUUGCCCUUGACUUGUGGUGAGUGUCAAGUGCAUGUUAAAUGCUUAUGUGUUUGAAAUGAUAUAUGUACAAGUGUUAGAUAUGAUACAUGAAACUUUGCCGAGGCGAGGUGUACUUUAUCGCCCUCGUCCUCUCUCUUUCCGAUUACAUGAUACUUGUUACAUGAAUAUAUAUGACUUACACUUAUAUAUGAACAUGUUUUAACUCGUGAGCACUGGGCGCUAGAAGUAUCACGCCCUAUUCGGGUAGGAGGUACCGCUCACCCCGACUCAGUGCUAUGAUCGACUUAAAGUCGAUUGGAGCGUUGUCUCGUCGAUCAAAUACACGUGUGGGGAUGCCCCAACCCAUCGGCUAACCUUGUAACUCGAGCCGGCAAGGGCUUGGUCGAGAAGCUUGGUGAACCUUGAAAAAUAAUAGAUUGAUCUUUGAGAUCUCGCUUGGCAUACUCGAAUAGUAUCGCCACCCUUACAUGUUUGGUUCCGGAACCGAGAGGGUGUUAUGUUGGAUGGAAGAAGUAAGUGGAGCACUAGGUCGUGUUACUACUUGGGUUGACGGAGGGUCAACCCCCGAAGGCUCAAUUGAUCGAGACAUGAAAAUAGCUCCUGAGAGCUCCGUAUCCUUCUUGUGUGUUAAAUUCCUCCUUGUGCACUUAAAUAAAAUGUCAUGUUUAAAGUUGCUUUUAAGCAUGUUAUUUGAUUAAUUGGUGUUACUUGCUUGCCUGUUUAUUUUUUUGCCUCACUGAGCGUUCGCUCAUCCCAUUAAGUUUGUUUUCCUUAACAAGCUUUGGAGAUGGAUUGGUGGUUCUAGACUAGCGACUUGGUGGAUGCUAGUAUACCUUUUGUAUGAACUUUUGAUGGUUCUUUAAGUGUAAUUUUGUUAUUGUUGGUUGGUGGAUUGUAAUCGUAAUUGUUAACCCUAGAAGUUAUGACUUGUAUAUUCGAAGUACUUUUAUUUAGGUCGAUGGUUGUUUUGUGGCUCUAUAUUAAACUUGAACGAGUGCGUGAAUCCUGACGAGAGUUGAGCAGGCGUUCUGCUGAUACCUAGGGUUCGCCCUAGGGAAAGGUGGGGCAGUCACAGGUUUCGAUAUAAAGGACCUUCGAUUAUUGAAUAAUUUAAGAUAUAAAAUACUUCUUAAUUAUAAUAUUUUAUCGUUAGCCAAAUGGGGAAUCUUAUGUUUGUUUCCUUCUUUUUCUUUUCUACUUUGGAUUUGGUUAUUUUGUGUCUAAAUUUUGAGUAUGAAUUUGGUAAGAUUACCACAAUAAGAAGUUUCAUUUAAGUGAGGUCUUCCCACAGUUAAAAUAAGAGUUUACAUGGUAUAAAAAGGAUUAAAAUGGUAAUGGUUUAUAAAAGAGCAUCACACUGAAAUAUUUUUUUUCCAAAAAAGGUUACUUCAGUAAUAAACUCGAAUUGUAUUAGUCCUCUUGGAGUUUUUAAAUGGUGAUGGAGAAACUGAAUCAAUUGAUUGGGAUUCCAUAGAUUUGAACUUGAAAAGGAUUCAUUAAAGACUUAAUAUUCUUUAAUUAAUGCAAUUGUUAGUGCGGCUGAUAUUUUUUUAAAAAAGAGGGCCAAUUAUGUCACUUUUACUAGAGCACAAAAAUUGUUUGAAAAGAGUGAGGAUAAUAUUGUAAAUGGUUUAAUCUUGAGCAGGGUGAAUUUUUUGAUGAAACUAAAGUUGUUGAACUUUUUGCAUGCUAAAUUUUGGCAUGAAAGAGAAUUAUAAUUUCUUAAGUUUUUUCAAACUAGCAAUAUAACCCGUGCUUUGCACGGGUUUCUAUCUUAAAUCAAAAUUAUUUUUAUAAAAAAGUCACAUAAUAAGAAAAACCUAAAAGCUUCAAAAGGGUAUCAAUUUAGUGUCAACUUCUACUGAAAUAUGUUACUUUAAAUAACGCGAAGAAAAAAAUCCUAACUUAUUGAGUGUAAGCAAUGGCAUCUUAACCACUUCGUCAAAUUAGGAAAUAGCUUAGAAAAUGUGGGUCUAAUUGUUAUAUGUAAUUGGAAUUGUCUAAUCAAAAUAUUUUUUAACUACUUACCUGCAAUCACAUUCCGCCCCUCCUUUCCCAUCUAAUCGCCAUCCUCUCUCUUGUCUCACAGCCCCAUCUCCCUUUCUCUACCCAUCUAUCCCCUCAUUUCUAUCUUGCAUCCCCACCUCUCUCUUGACUACAAAUUGCUUUCUCCCCGCUUGUAGUACCGCCUUUCCCUAUCCCUUCACUAUCAAAUGCUAAGACCUAUUCUAUCAUUUUUAUGUUUUUUUCCUUGUCAAAUACGAACCCAAAUAACAAUAUGCUGCAAUAUUUUGAAACCCGGGUGAACAAGUAAACUGAAUGAGCUUUCGGUUCACAUUUCAACACUGAUUCAAUGAUGUUAAACUUUCUUAAAAUUAUUUAGUAUUAAGUUACUUGGGUAAUAUCUAAAAAAAAUAAAAGAAAUAUUUAGUGCGAAACUAGUUCAGAGGCCAUUUUUUAUCAGUUUUUCCUAGUUUGACCAAUUUUUAUUGGGUUUAUCGAUUCAUCUAACUUCCCGAGUUAAAUAUAGAACCAAACUAGAGCCAUGACUGCUUUAAGGUUCGAUUGGAUAAGCUAGUAUUGGGGGUAUAAAUUUUAUAAAAUUCUACCUCAAUACAUUUUUUAUAAAAAAAAUGAAUAUAGUUAACGAUCUUUAAGCACUUGCACAAAGGUGCCCUUAUUUGUUUACAUUCAAGUCAAGAAAAUAGUUCACCUUAAUGCUCACCCUUAUUAUAAUAGUGGUGGUUGUCAAACUAUCAAAAAUAAAAUUUAUAUAAGACCUACUCCCAAAACUGAAUGAGUAUAGUAGUGAGUAGGGUCGUCUCAUAGGGAACUGGUAGAUUUAUCACACACAGAUAAUUGGGGGGGGGUUUUGGAAGAGAGAUAAAUAAAUGAAACAAAUUAAAAAUGCAAGAUUACUAAAUAACAAUCACAAUAAAUGCUAUAACUCAAGAAUGAAAUAAACAAUUAAUUGACACAACCUAGUCAAGGAGACAAUCUCGGCACCGGUUCACACAAUUGAUCAUAGAUAUCUAAAUUAAUUCAUACGUUCGCAAAUAAAUCGGCUCUAGCAAUUUAGCAACCGCCAAACUCCCAAUCUCUCCUUAAUUUUACAGUAGUUCAGAGACGCUCGUAAACUACCCUCUUGUAAAAUAGACAACCCCAGAGACGCUCGAAGGAUUUAAUCUAAUUACAGCUUUAGGAAUUAGAGAGACCCAAUUCUAGUUAACAAACACACAUGCGGGUUCAUUUAAACUAGAUUAAUUAUCCCUACGACCCAGAUUAGACUGCUUGCGAGGCAAUGAAAUUGGUAUCGUUCGCCACUAAUUUAAGACACUCAGGUGAUACGCACCCCUGUCCUAAUUGGAGGUAUAUUAUUUAGACAACUGAACAACUGACCACAUUAAUUCAAUAUAUCUAAACAAUAACAAGCAAUUCAAACAAAGAAUAAUUAAAUACUCACAAACGUAGAACUUAGAAUACUAAAAACGAUCUCACAAUUGUUUGUAUUCCGGCCCUUGAUUACUCCUCAACUAGAUAAAAGAACUUAGCCUGAUCUCAUGCUGUUCAUGCAUUCACAGUUUCCAUGGAGUUUCGUUAAUUGAAGGAGUAAAAAGAUUCGGCCGCCAACUUACAACUUGCGUUCAGAAGAAAAAGAAAACAAAGAGAAAAGUCCAAGACAGAUGAUAAGAUCCCUAAUCUAUUACAGUCCUCCUAUUUAUAGUGUUCCGCCGUCCUUUUUGCUAGCCGAAUAAGAGGUUGUUUCUCGAACGAAUUGUUUCCUUAAUUCCCUCCUUGGAUUGUUGCCAAAAGUCAUCUUUGACUUGAAUCAAUUCCACGCACGUUCAGAAUUUGUUUCCAAAGAAAGGUGUAAUUCCAGGAACAGGACCCGCGGUCCGUCUUUUUCACGCAGCUCUACCUUUCUGGCGUGGGCACGCCAGAGAAUGCCUAGUCUUUCUGGAAUUUGCCUCUUCUUUUCACUUUUUAACACCACUCGCCUGCAAACAACACAAAUACCAAAUCUAGGCAGAAAUCCAGUGUCUUGCACAAUAAAUGACAAAAUUAAGACCAAAUACCAACGAAUAAACAUUCAAUUAUUGCCUUAUCAAAUCCCCCCACACCAAGACAAUGCUUGUCCUCAAGCAUUUCAAAGCUCAGAGAUACAAUCACAGUUACGCAUAUGUAGCAGUCCACCAUGCGAGCACAAGUAUCCUAUCCUCCUAACAAUGUGAUCAAAUUCAGAAAUUGCAAGACUCAACCCUCUCUUAUUGGAUGGAGUACGAUUACUCACCAUACCGAUAUGAAACACAAAGGGUCACUCUCACCACACAAUAAAAUGAUGUUACCAUAUGCUUGCUAAUAUAUCACAUCUCCACCACUUAAACCAAAUUUAAUGCAAAAAUCAAAGGGUCUUUAUGCGGGUUGUAAUGGGGCUCAGGCACAGGUUAGAUCAAACAGGUAAUUUAGGCUCAUUGUGUCAAAGAAAACAUCACCACCACCGCAUGAAUUCCCAUUUCAUCCUUCAUCCAUUGAUCUCUCCAAAGCCUAACUGUGACUUUCCCAAAAACUUAGCAAGUGCAAGCACAACUAAGAACUUCACCCAUUUUUCUCAACAAAACACACAUAGACAAAAGCACUUUUCUUUUCUCUUUUUUUUUCGGUUACAAUGGUUGGAAGGCGGGGGCAUGCCUUGGAACCCACAGUCUUCUCCCUUUUUUUUUUUUCAAAUACGCACAGCUACAUAUAAACACACCUGCUAACUUCAAUUGCCUCUUUCAACCCAAUUUGAAAAUCAUCAUGCACUGAAAUCAAGGCGUUCCUUUGACACGGGGUGAAAACAAAGAGGAUUUGAACACAAGAGGUUUAGAGGUAACAAAAUGAGUUUCAAAACAAAGAGAAGGUCCAGGCUCAACCAUGGUCAACUAGGGGAGAUUUGACUAGGGUUGGUGUUUAGAAAGCUGAAAAUGGUGAACCUAAGUGCCCUUAUCAUUUUAUGCACCAAACUCAGGGGUGUGAUCUUGACAUGCACAACAAAGCAAGUUCUAGAACAAUCAAGUCAUGUGUGAUAGCACUCAAAGAAAGGAAAUGGAGCAGUUAUCAAUACAAUACUCAAUAGCUCAAUAGCUCACAUCUGGGUAUUAGCAAUCAAAUCUUGCAAAUUUCCUCAUUUAAUUCCAUCAUCAAGAAGAUAGGACAGUUAACCACAUAAUAACACUGCUCAUGCUUGUAAAGUAAUCGCAAUCAUCAUCAUAGCGUCAAGUUCUAGACAUUAUCAACUGAAUCCAACCAAACUCAUCACCUAUAUAUAUAUAUUUUCCCUUUUCCUAGUUUUCCAAAAAUUUUUUUUUUUUUCUGUUUUUUGUAUUAACAAACCGAAAGAGCUAAAACUAUCUAUCAAACUAUCAAACCUAAAGAGCUAGAACUACUUCCCCCACACCAGAAAUCUACAUUGUCCUCAAUGGAGCAAAGAAAAAUAAAAGCUAAAAAGAAAGGGACAGGGGCUUCCCUGAGGGCCACGAAAGCACGAGAGCACUAUAGGAGGAGGAGUGAGGAGGCUGAAAGCCAAUGUGGGCGUAGAAGGCGGCCUGAUUCUCCGUCUGGAUACGGGCAAAAACCUGUAGGGCUGCGAGACGGCCAUCCAGGUGCUCUACCGGGCACCCAAAUCAGUAACUGAGUCCUGUAGGUGACGGAACUGGGUGUCCAAGACGACGGAGCAGCGGAGGAGGAAGGACCCGCCUGGGCUUCCUCUGGUGCCGUGGAAGGAACUCGUGGCUGGGGAAUACCCUCCCCAGGAGAUGUGAACUGAUAAACGUCCCCCACUUUAUGAAUGACCCCCAUCCGCUCAAGGCUGUGCAGGUCCAAAGGCUCAAGCUCGCGAGCCAAGGUAAGCUUAUGCUCCUUAUCGAGAUCGAGGACUCUUAAGCGGAUGGGCAAAUAAGUGAUGAGAGCCCAUAAUCAAGGGUUUAUGGCGCUUAUGAAGGACAGCUGUAACUGAGAGGCCAUCCAACAACCAAAAUUUACCUGAACCUUAUUACGCAUGCACCAGAGGAAAUAGAACUCGCUUUGGCAAGAGUGCUGGAAGAAUCCUUCCGACCGGAGAAGUUAUAGGCCAAAACCGGUGAAUGACCUUCAGCACCGGAUCCUUAAGAUACGGACCUUUGACUGACUCGGGUCGUAGAGUUGCCUGUCAGUAGACCACUCCCGCCAAAUCUCAAUGUAAUUAUUGGCGAAAGGGUGGGUGUAGUCACAAGCGCUGUUGAUAUAAGCGCUGGAGGCGAUGGUGUCCUCACUCACAAAGCCCAACAUCAAAUUGAAUUCAUUGAUAGAAUAGGCCUGUGGGGCGCCCCUCAGCCGAUACUUGAUAACCGCUGGUGAAUCCAAGGCGAGAUCAGCGGACCUCUCAAACUCGAAGGUGGCGUAGAACUCAUAGCAGAGCUCCUCAUACGCCGGGCAGUCAAUAACCAGAAACUUACCCCAUCCGAUGGCAGUAAACAACUGCUCCACCUCCCGAGCAAUAUUCAACUGAUCGAGAGUUGGGGGGUGGAAGCACUUGCAUGGGGCGAAUGGCCGGAUCACCAAUGAGUUCACGCGCUGCUGCUGCUCCGGAGUGAGGUCCUUCAGAGGUUCCCCCCACACUCCAGGAGACGAAGUACUCCUGGACAGUCCCAAACGGGACCUAGUAGGGGGUUGGACCGAGGCCCGCCUCUUACGAGAAUUGGAGCUCGAUGCCCCAGAUGUAGUAGUUUUCUUUGGAGCCAUGAAGGGUAAAUUUGACAAUUCCAAAGGCACAGAUUGACAAAGAAAUACCAAAUGGAGAUAGGGAACCAACAAGCACACUACCCACAGUCAACAGUUAACAAAUAAAGCACGGAUAGACACCAGAGCGGCCACUAGCGUGCAUGUGACAAAUAAAAGUAAGGAAAGACAGCCAAGAAAUCCCAAAAUAGCAGUCAACAGGUAACUAUCCCCAACCAAUGGACGAGUCACCAACCCACAAGUAUCAAAUAUUAGAUCCACCAGACCCACAAGUGACACCAAGACAGAUAUAACCAAUGGAAAAAAAAUAGAUACGAGAUCCUCCAAAUCGUGGUCAGCAGGAAAAUGUUACCCAAUAAACCAACCGUUAUGUCAACCCACAAAAUGGGAAAAUUUAGCCAGAAAAAAAUCCCAGAUCUGAGUCACAAAGCGGCAACAAGAGAGAGGAAAUGGGGUACCACUGAGGAACACCAGGGUGAAUGGGCACGGUGAGCGACGACCGUGCACUUGAAGGCAAGUCGGUCGCGAUGGUGGCCCUCGGUUAGUGGAGUACGUCGAGGCGGCGUGAGCGGUUGGGUCGGGACGGUGGCGUGCGCGAGGGGCAGGUAAGCGGCGGCGGCGGUGCGAGCGGUGACCGCGUUGAGGAUGGCGCCGCUGCCGGGGACCUGGUGCUUGAAGUGAUUUAUUACACAGGCUAGUAUAGCCUUGUUUUAUGCCUCGAUCUUCCCGUACAGGAAGACUCAAGUUUGACCCAGAGAUCGAGAAAACCUCCAGGAGGUUGACAAAGGAGACAAAGUUGCAAAAGCAACAAGCCUCAACGGCACAACCAUCUGAACUUGAGCAAAACUUUCACUUUGGUGAUUCACCAGUCCAACUGGAAACAAAUUUGCUUGGAUCCAACGAAACAAUGGCAGCCCAAAGAACUUUGAGGGAGCUUGCGAUCCCUAAUGUUAACCAACAGCCUCUGUGCAUCACAUACACUGACACAGAGGAGUCUUUUGAGCUAAAAUCUGGUUUAAUUCACUUGUCAUCUACCUUUCAUGGUAUUGCAGGUGAGGACCCACACAAGCACUUGAAGGAAUUUCAUGUGGUGUGUUCGACCAUGAGACCUCAGGGGGUCACCGAGGAACAAAUCAAGUUGCGUGCCUUCCCGUUUUCCUUAGCAGAUAAGGCGAAGGACUGGUUGUUCUACUUGCCAUCGGGUCCAUCACUACAUGGGAAGCAUUAAAAAUGACAAUUUUUGGAGAAGUUCUUCCCAGCCUCCAGGGCCGCCAAUAUCAGGAAGGAGAUAUGUGGAGUGAGUCAAGCAAAUGUAGAGACUCUUUACGAAUAUUGGGAGCGAUUUAAACAAUUAUGUGCCAGUUGCCCACACCAUCAAAUUCUUGACCAACUGUUGAUCCAAUAUUUCUACGAGGGGCUCCUACCCAUGGAUAGGAGCAUGAUCAAUGCGGCUAGUGGAGGUGAGUAGGGUCGUCUCUACAGGGAACUGGUAGAUUUAUCACACACAGAUAAUUGGGGGGGUUUUUGGAAGAGAGAUAAAUAAAUGAAACAAAUUAAAGAUGCAAGAUUACUAAAUAACAAUCGCAAUAAAUGCUAUAACUCAAGAAUGAAAUAAACAAUUAAUUGACACAACCUAGUCAAGGAGACAAUUUCGGCACCGGUUCACACAAUUGAUCUAAGGAUUUAAUAGACAACCCAGAGACAACCCCAGAGACGCUCUUGUAAACUACUCCAGAGACGCUCUUGUAAACUACCCUCUUGUAAAAUAGACAACCCUCUUGUAAACUACCCUCUUGUAAAAUAGACAACCCCAGAGACGCUCGAAGGAUUUAAUCUAAUUACAGCUUUAGGAAUUAGAGAGACCCAAUUCUAGUUAACAAACACACAUGCGGGUUCAUUUAAACUAGAUUAAUUAUCCUUACGACCCAGAUUAGACUGCUUGCAAGGCAAUGAAAUUGGUAUCGUUCGCCACUAAUUUAAGACACUCAAGUGAUACGCACCCCUGUCCUAAUUGGCGGUAUAUUAUUUAGACAACUGAACAACUGGCCACAUUAAUUCAAUAUAUCUAAACAAUAACAAGCAAUUCAAACAAAGAAUAAUUAAAUACUCACAAACGUAGAACUUAGAAUACUAAAAACGAUCUCACAAUUGUUUGUGUUCCGGCCCUUGAUUACUCCUCAACUAGAUAAAAGAACUUAGCCUGAUCUCAUGCUGUUCAUGCGAUUCACAGUUUCCAUGGAGUUUUGUUAAUUGAAUAAGGAGUAAAAAGAUUCGGUCGCCAACUUACAACUUGCGUUCAGAAGAAAAAGAAAACAAAGAGAAAAGUCCAAGACAAAUGAUAAGAUCCCUAAUCUAUUACAGUCCUCCUAUUUAUAGUGUUCCGCCGUCCUUUUUGCUAGCCGAAAUAAGAGGUUGUUUCUCAAACGAAUUGUUUCCUUAAUUCCCUCCUUGGAUUGUUGCCAAAAGUCAUCUUUGACUUGAAUCAAUUCCACGCACGUUCAGAAUUUGUUUCCAAAGAAAGGUGGUGAUUCCAGGGACAGGACCCGCGGUCCGUCUUUUUCACGCAACUCUACCUUUUCUGGCGUGGGCACGCCAGAUAAUGCCUAGGCUUCUGGAAUUUGCCUCUUCUUUUCACUUUUUAACACCACUCGCCUGUAAACAACACAAAUACCAAAUUUGGGCAGAAAUUCAGUGUCUUGCACAAUAAAUGAUCAAAAUUAAGACCAAAUACCAACGAAUAAACAUUCAAUUAUUGCCCUAUCAAAUAGUUUUAUGUUGGACCUAUGAUUAAUUAAUUUUGACAUUCUAAUAAAUAUUGUUAUGAAUAGUUGACAUGAUUAUAACAGUGUAAGGAAAAAAAAGUGAAAGUAAACAAACAGUAAACAUAUAAAAAACAUUUAUUCAUGAAGAGAAGAAACAAAGGUCUAAUUUUCAGUCUUUCUCCAGCCACACCAAGCAAGGUUUUACGUCUCUUACUGUGUUGCAAGAAAACUUUGACUCAUGAUAAAAUUGAUAUAAUGCUGCUGAUUUCUGAUUUUUUUUUCUUAUCGUCUGUCCAUAUAAUUGUGUUCGAGUCAUCUGGUUGAUGAAAAUUAUGAAUUUAGGAUGUAAACCCAUACAAAAGAUUGGUAAGAUUGGCUAAAACAAGUUGAUAACCAAAAGGACUUACUGAAUAACUUAGAGAAAUUGAUGUUACUGAGAUGUAUGGUUUUGAUACGUUGAUUGGUUUUCAACACUUUUUUUUUUGUGGUGUGCAAGUAAUUAUUCAUAUAUAAAUCCAAUGUUGGAUUAAAGAUCUAACAAUCUCCCACUUGGACUAUAUGUGUAACCUUAUAAUUAUGAUUCGCAAUUAACCGUAUGAGCUCAACUUUACUGUCAUUAUCAUAAUGUACUUGUAACCAAUUCGAUCCAUCAAUCAUACCAACAUAGGAUCAAAGCGGCUUUUGUUACAAUUUCGUAAUUCGACCAAUCAAUGGUCGCAUAUAUUAAUAUAAUUGAAUGACAUGAAUCAUGAUGUGGAUGUGUAGCAUGAAAAUUCAUGUAAUGUGAUCAAAACAUGCCUAUUUCCAACUGGUCUAUCUUAAAUUUUAUGAUAUCAAACCAUACCAAAAUCAAAGUGUAAAUAAAUCCAAACUUUAUUUAUACAUAAAAUAUCCUUAAAUCAUUAAUAACAGAAAGGUAUCAUAAGAGCAUUUAAACUAACAAACUCUCACUAAAACUGUAUAUCAUUUAAUAACAUGACACCCAUACGAAAAGUAUACUCAUGAAACAUUUUGGGUGGCAAUCCCUUAGUAAGCGGAUCCGCAACCAUGGAGUUUGUCCCGAUAUGCUCUAUCGAUAACUGUCCACUCUGUACUCUUUUUUAACAGUCAGGAACUUGAUAUCUAUAUGUUUAGAUUUCGUCAAACUCCUGUUAUUAUUGGAAUAGAGAAUUGCUGACUUAUUGUUACAAAAUAAUUUGUGUGGCCUUUCAAUACUAUCCACUACACGUAAUCCUGUGAUGAAAUUUCGGAGCCAAAUUUUUUGGUUGGAUGCCUCAUAACAAGUUAGAAACUCUGCAGCCAUAGUGGAAGAUGUUAUAAGGGACUGUUUAGUACUCUUCCAAGAUAUGACACCUGUUGUCAACAAAUAGAUAUAGCCUGACGUUGAUUUCAUAGUAUCUUGGCAUCCAAUAUAAUCGGAAUCAGUAUACCCAAUGACUUCUAACUCAUCUGACUUCCGAUACGUGAGCAUGUAAUCUUUUAUUUUCUGUAAAUAAUGUAAGACCCGUUUGGUUGCUUUCCAAUGAUCUAAUCCUGAAUUACUUAAAUAUCUACCCAACAUUCCAAUAAUGUACGCAAUAUCCGGACGUGUACAUAUUUGAGCAUACAUUAGACUCCCUACUGUUGACGCAUAAGGAAUCUUUUGCAUAUCUUUUUCCUCAAAAGCAUUCUUAGGACACUGUUCAAGACUAAAUUUGUCGCCUUUAGUCACAGGGGUGUCACCUGAUUUAUAAUUUUGCAUGUCAUACCUUUUAAGAACCUUUUUGAUAAAAUUUUUUUGUGAUAGUUCUAAAAUACCCCGAGAUCGAUUCCGGUGUAUUUGAAUGCCUAACACAAAAGAUGUAUCACCAAGAUCUUUUAUCUCAAAAUUCUUAGUUCAAAAUUUUUUUGGUUCCAUGCAAUAGACUAAUAUCAUUGCUAGCAAACAAAAUAUCAUCAACACAGAAAAAUAUAUUUGCUCCCACAGAACUUAUGGUAUAUACAAUCAUCUACUAAGUUCAUCUCGAAACCAAAUAAGAUGAUCACUUGAUGAAAUUUGAAAUAUCAUUGUCGAGACGCUUGUUUGAGCCCAUAGAUGGAUUUUUUAAAUUUGCAAACCAUAUUCUUUGGAUCUCCUGAUACAAAGUUUUCUGGUUGCACCAUAUAAAUUGUCUCAUCAAUGUUACCAUUGAGAAACGCUGUCUUUACAUCCAUUUGAUGUAACUCAAGAUCGAAAUGCGCCACCAAUGCCAUAAUAAUUCUGAAGGAGUCCUUUGAAGAAAUUGGGGAGAAGGUUUCUUUAUAAUCGAUACCUUCUUUUUGUGUAAAUUCCUUGACGACAAGAUGAGUUUUGUAUCUUUCCACAUUGUCUUUCAAAUUUCUUUCGAUUUUAAAUAUCCAUUUACAACCAAUGGUUUCGCUCCUUCUGGCAAUAACACAAGAUCCCAAACAUCAUUGUCCUUCAUGGAUUUAAUCUCCUCAUUCAUGGCAUCGAUCCACUUUUGAGAAUUUGAAAUUUCCAUGACUUGACGGAAGUUGAUUGGAUCAUCUUCCAUCAAUCAGAAUCAUCCUCAUGUUCUUGGAGAAAAAUAAUGUAAUCAUUUGAUGUACUUCUCCUUGCUCUAGUGGAUCUUCUUAAUGGCGCUGGUUCUUGGAAAGGAAGAAUUUGUUCUUCUAUAACAGUUUGUUCUUCGACAUUGUCUUGAUUUGUCAUAUCAUGAUCAAGUUCAGGAAUAGGUUCUGAGCAAGAGUAAUGACACCUGUGGAAUAUUAAUAUAUUGUUCUUUAAAGACAAUGUCCCUUACUGUAUUUUCUCCCCCAAACUCGAUAUCCUCAAAGAACCGGGCAUUUCCUGCCUCAAAAAUUGAUUUAGUUGUGGGAUCAUAAAAUUUGUAACCUCUAGAUCUUUCAGAGUAUCUAAUAAAAUAACAACUAAUCGUUCUUGAGUCCAGUUUCUUUUCAUUUGGCCUAUAAGGUCUUGCCUCAGGUGGACAUCCCUAAAUAUGUAAAUGCUUUAAACUGGACUUUUUUCCUGUCCAAAGUUCAUAAGGGAUUUUAAUAGUUGAUUUAGUUGGAACUCUGUUGAGAAUAUAUACUGCAGUCUUAAGUGCUUCUCCCCAAAGUGACUCUGGUAAGGUAGAAUGACAUAUCAUACUCCUUACCAUGUUUUUAAGUGUUCUAUUUCGUCUUUCAAUUACACCAUUCAUAGUGGGUGAACCCGACAUAGUGUACUGUGGGACGAUACCGCAUUCCUCUAGGUAUUUAGCAAAUGGUCCUGGACGUUGUUCACUUGAAUCAUCAUAUCUACCUUGGUACUCACCAUCACGGUCAGAUCUGACGCUUUUAAUUCUUUUGUUGAGUUGAUUCUCAAUUUCAGCCUUAAAAUUUUUGAACACGUCUAGUGACUGUGACUUUUCAGAAAUGAGAUAUAUGUACCCAUAUCUUGAAAAAUCGUUUGAACGUUAUAAAAUAUUGUUGACCAUUCCAAGCAGAUGUAGAAAAUGACCCACAAAUAUCCGUAUGUAAAAGUUCUAAGAGGUUGAGGACCUAUUGGUUUCAAAUAUCCUUUUAUUGGUUUGUUUCCCCUUUAUACAAUUAAUACAAUCAUCAAAAUCAGUGAAAUUCAAGGGGUAGAGAAUUUCAUUUGACACAAGUCUUUCUAUUCUGUUUGGAGAUAUGUGCCAAUCUCUUGUGCCAUAAUGCGGCUGAAUUCUCAUUGAUUAAUUUUCUCUUUACUUCUCUAGUACUCAAAUGCAGAGAUUCAUUAAAUGAGACAAUUGUAUCAAUUAAAUAUAGAUUAUCGUAGUGCAUUAAAGAACCAGAACCAACCAAUUUUGAAUCAUAAAUAAUUCAAAUUUUCCAUUUUCAAAUGAACAAGAAUAACCAAAUUUGUCCAAAACAGAAAUAGAAAUUAAAUUCCGUCUAAAAGACGGUACAACAAAUGUCUCAUUGAGAUCCAAAUAAAAUCCGGUCUUUAACAAUAAUCUAAAAACUCCAAUUGUCUCAACUUGAGCUGUUUUGCUAUCGCCCACAUAAAUAUAUUUUCAUUAUCAUUAACCUUUCGGCAAUUCAGGCAACUCUGCAUAAACACACUGAUGUGAGUUGUUGCACCAGAAUCUAACCACCAUAUGUGUCUAGAUACUGAAGUUAAAUUAAUUUCAGAACAAACCAAAUUAAGAAGCAUACCUUUCUUAGCAUGCAAGCGUGAUUGUUGGUGCAAUGCUUUUUUUUAUGCCCUUCAAGUCCAUAGAAGAAACAACUAUUCUUUCCCUGAUCAUCUGAUUUCUUUUGUUGUUUCUUUUGUGGCGCUGUACUUGCAGCUCCUUUUUCCUUCUUUCUCUUAAGUCCCUUACUUUUAUUAUUAGUGGUUGACAUCAGAUGGGCACUUUCUAUCUGAUCUUGGUUCAACCUUUCCUCUUCCUCUACACAGUGCGAGAUGAGUUCAUUUAGAACCAAGUCUCCUUUUGACAGUUGUAACUCACCUUAAACUGGUUAAACUGUGUAGGAAGAGAUAUUAAAAUCAAAUGCACUAGUAACUCUUCAGAGAGUGUCAAUUUAAGUGCAUUUAAUUUUGAAACAAGAUGAGACAUUUCCAUAAUGUACUCUCUGAUAUUUUCUUUACCACUAUAUUUCAUUGAAACUAGGCGUGUCAAGAGCGUACUAAUUUCAGUCUUUUCGUUCUUGACAAACCUUUUUUCAAUAUCUUGAAGGAACUCUUUAACGGUUAUUUUUGUUUUGACAUUGUUCCUCUGAAUGCUUUUGGAACAGCCUUCUUAAUGAUCAUCAAACACAAGCGAUUUGAUCUCUCUCACCUUUCAUUAUUUCUUUUUUCAUCAGAGGUACUCUGAUCUGUAAGAGGUGGGGGAGAAUCAUCCCUUAACGCAAGGUUGAGAUCCAUUAUUCCAAGUACUAUCAAGAGAUUUUCUUUCCAGAACUUGAAGUUUGUGCCAUUCAACAUAGAAUAUUAUUGAUGUUGAUAGUAAUAUUUGUAAGAUCAUUUGCAGCUGAACAUGAAAAAUAUCAAAUAAUUAAAACUACGCUUACAUAAAUCAAAUAAUAAUAAAUUCAAAUAAUGGUAGCCCCAUCUCAAGAUACCGAUGUUCCAUUAAUAUUUUAUUUUUGGACAAAAAUAUUAACUUCUAAGUGUUAUCUUGGUGCAGUAAUAAAUACUGAUAAUAAUAACAUGUCAAAAAUAAAUUUUCUUUUGGGCUAAUUUAUAAAUCACAUGUAAAAAAUCUAAAUAAUUAUCACGUAUUUAUUACCACAAGUGCACAUGUAAUUUUAUUAAAUAUUGACCUUCCUUUGGACCGAUCAAUAUUCAUAAAAUUACAGGUACCCAACUAGUUAUAUUUUAAAAUAAAUUAAUUUUCAUAAUAGAGGUCACUUUGGUGGCAUAUUAUUUCAAUUAAUUUAUUCCAAAAUAUAUAUAAUCAUACCAAUAUUCAAAUUUAAAAUAAUACAAAUUAAACAAAAUUUUUUAUCAAAGUCAACUUUGGUCAACUCUGGUCAAAACGUGGUCAAACAUGGUCAAAUUGAAUCAAAACUUAUUGGACAAAAGUUCAUAUCCAUAAUCCGACCCAAAUUUAUCAUUCAACCCCAAAAUAUUUCUUGAAGUCCAUAAAUAUUUUAUAAAACUUUAUAUUUAGCGGGCCUAAUAUAUGGACUUUAUAGGACUUGAAUGUCAUAUUUAACUUUAUUAGGGUUCACUUAAAUUAAAGAAACCCUAAUUUCCUUUAUAUUAUUUCUCAAACAAGAAAACAAGUCAAAGAGUCCAAUUGUAAACAAUUGAGCUACAAAGACAUAAUGAAAAAGUCACGGCAAAAAAGAAAAUAUUUUGGCUUUCUGUUUGAGAAAAAGAUAAAUUAAUUGACAAUCAAUUAUGAUCCCGAACCACGUGCCAACUAGUCAUUAAUAAGCUAAGCCGAAUUCUCCAGAUGUAAAAGUAGGGAGUCGGCCAACCAAAAUAGCGUGAAGAAACAAUUGAAUCAUACAACUAAAGUUGGACUAUGGUGGGACCCUCUAAAUUUCAUGUAUGCAAAAGCAUUGUUGGAAUGAUUUGACCGAAGGCCAUACAUUACUUACGUAAGCACCCAUGAACAUAAAAGCCACAUAAAGACUCGUCAACCAUGGAAGCGGAGCCCACGAAUUCAAUUUUUUUUUUAAUAUUGCAUAUGAGUCAGAGUGGCGCCGUACAAACAAAAACAUAAUUUACCAUAAUUCUGAAUUCAUGUAGUGCGGCGGAAGCAACCAAAAUCAUGUCAUAUAUAUAACGAAAACAGUGAAUCAACUGGCGAUCGAAAAUUUAAACACAUAACAGUCAUGUAUUUAAUAGCAUCAGGUCCAGCCAAUAGCCAUGAAAACAGAACCAAUAGUAAUAAAACUAUAAAUUACUAAAACAAAAGUAUUUUCUAAUAAUCAAUCAUAUGGGCUCUGAUACCACUUGUUAGGGUGGUUAUCUAAAUUUAACCUUUGGUGAAAACCAUCACCUAUUAAACCUAAAAUUUAUAUGGCGAUUAUUAAGAAAUAAAUUAACAAUAAAAUAACGGAAGCGUACCUGGAUUCAUAUCGAAACUGAUAUAUGAAUCUCCAAAGUUAUUGGGGUGGCCUUCCAAGUCAACACGUAUUUACCGAUCUUUUGAGAGAACCCUUUAGUUUCUCUCUGGUAUCUUUCCUGACGAUGGGAUAUCAGAAAGAGUUAUUUUGUGGUAUUAGGAAAUACGACAACUAGAAUGAUACGUGUGACUUGGGGACCAUAACUCUAUUUAUAGGUAACAUUCUUGUACUCUUUGGAACCUUAUUUCAACCCAUCAUAGAAAUAGAAGCCCUUAAGUCUCUACACAUUAAAGGCCCACACCCUAUUAGAUACAUUAAAUCCAAACUAUAUUUGAUCACUUUAAUUGGGUUUAACCUUAAUUGACAGUUUGCAAACAUAAUUAUUCAUAUAUAAAUCCAAUGUUGAAUUAAGGAUCCAACAUCUUCUUCUUCUUCUUUCUCAUAUGUUGUGUACUAAAUUUAGUUGGCACAUUAAUGAUGUUUAAGACAGUUGCUCUAGUUGGAGAGAGUGGAAGCGGGAAAUCUGCGGUGAUCUCACUGUUGCAAAGAUUUGACCAUCCUGAUUCAAGUCAUAUUACACCGGAUGGGAUUAAAAUUGGACAAAUUCUACUUUAUCCCCUGUGGUUUAACGUUUUUUUACAUAACCCUCCUAUGGUUUCAAAAACUAUAUAUAACCCCCUUAUGGUUUGGAUUAAAGUGUCAAAGUGACGGGAAUGACCAUUCGUAACAGAGUCACAUAAAAUGUCAAAAAUACCCUUAUGUAAAGUUGAAAAUUAUUUAUUAACUAAGGAGGGUUAUGUGUAUAUUUUGAAAAUCAUAAGGGGGUUAUAUGAUAAAGUAUUAAACUAUAAGGGGUUAUAUAGUAAAAUAUAAAAAUCAUACGGGGUUAAUGUGUCAUGUAUUUAUAAGGGUAAUUUCGACAUUUUUAGAAGUUCCGUUACGAGUAACUAUUUCUGUCAUUUUGACGCUUUAAUCCAAACCAUGAGGGGAUUAUGUAUAGCUUUUAAAACCAUAUUGGGGGUUAUGUAAAAAAAUGUUAAACCACAGGAGGGUAAAAUAUAAUUUGCCCAUUAAAAUUCAAAAGUUUCAAGUGAAGUGGCUAAGGCAGCAAAUGGGGCUUGUGAGUGAAGAACCUGUGUUGUUUAAUGAUACAGUUCGAGCCAACAUUGCGCACGGGAAGGAAGGGAAUGCUACAGAAGCAGAAAUACUAGAAGCAGCAGAGGUAGCAAACGCGCACAUGUUCAUUAGUGGGUUGCAACAGGUUUGUGAUCGAACACUAAUCUCAUCAUUUUCACAAUCUAUAGUAUGUCAACCUAAACAUCUAAGCAUUGUCACAACGUUUUCAGCAGUCUUAGUUUAAUCAACAGAAUACAAAUUUUGUACUUCUAUGGAAGGCUUUUCAGCUUCAAACUGUUGUAUCUCAAUACCAAUUUAACCAGGCUAGCUGCAAACAGGUAACUGCUUCCUUUUCCUAUGUAAGGUGGAUGGAUAACUUUCAGCAAUUAGACCCUCAGGAACAUUUACCUGUUUCAAAAAAGUGGUUUAAAAUACUGAAAUGAGAGCCCCAUCAUCCUUUUGGAACAAUGGUUCUGAAACAAUACAUUUAGUCACAAACCCCAAAACCCAAAUUACAGAUUUUUAUCAAGAUUCCAAUUCCUCUAAAUCCUUGCCAUGAUUAUGACAGAAAACAAGAACCCCACUUCAGUACCACUCUAAAAGAAGUAGGACUGACCUCCUAUUAUCAAGUUCUACCUUCAAAAUAGAACCAAGGUAGAGAUACGGCCAUGCUGGACAAGUUUCAGUCCAAAAAACAGAGACAAGAGGACCUAUAACAAUUAACUACCAAACUUGUAUAUUCAGAUGAUUGCAACCACACCAAAAUACAUAUAUACCAAACCACUCGAGUUAGUCCAAUGGCCAGGGAAGGUCUCUUAGAAUUCUCCCCGCUACACUAAUUUAUUUGUGAACAAUUAGAACUGUCCAAAAAUGAAAUCGCUAAGAAUCCUAUCAUUAUUUUUAUCAGAAGGAAGAAACCAAGCACACGCCAAUCCUUUAUUAUUUUUAUCCUUUUUCUUUUUCUCUUUUUUUUUAUGUUGCUGAAUUUGAUUUUCUUUUUCUCAUGGACGUGUCCUAAGGCCAAACUAAACUUUUGUUUCCUUGUUCUUUGUUUUUUAGAUGACCAAAAUUUUAAUUUGCCUAAAACGAAAUGGCCCACAUUAAAUUAAAAGGAAAACCUUCAAAAUUUUAGAAAUUGCGGACCUUUAUACAUAUAUAUAUAUACUCCCUCCGUCCCAUAAAAUUUGUCGCUUUUGAUACAACGUGCAAUUUAUGUAUAGCGAUAUUAGUAGAAAAGAGAAUUUUUACUUUCCUUUUUUUAUCGCUAGUAGCGGGCCAUUUUUUAUUUGUUGUAUUGAUAAUUGUAAAGAAUAAGUGGUGGACCACAUGACACAUGAAAGGUAGAGAUAAAAUUUUAUUGAACAACGUGAAUUAACUUAUCUAACACGACAAUUAAUUUGGGAUAAGAAAAAGUGACAAACAUGACAAAUUUUAUAAGACAGAAGGAGUAUAUCAAAGACAUUCUCAUCUCAAAUUGAAAAUUCAAGUUAUAUUGAAAAUGCACUUCAAAAACAUUGUUAUUUUAAUGGGUAUAUGAUAUUUUGAAAUAGUUUUGUGAUCUCUAACAUAUUUUACUCUUGAUUCAACUUUGAGAUGAAAAUGACAAUACCCUCAUAAUUUACAAAAAAAUUGCUGCAGAAAUUAAAAAUCACUAGCACUUGGGACGGUGGGCUAGAGAAUGGGGUCAAAGCCCUUCCGCUCUAGCUGGUCAGGGGAUUGAUCAUGGAUAAAAAAGAAUUUAAUAGAUAUUUAAAGAAAAAUAAAAAGUUUAUAUAUAUAUGUUGGCAGUAUAUACACCAUCACGAUUAGAUGUAUGAGACAUGAACGGAAUUUGAAUUUCAAAUUUAAAUUCAAAUGAAUUGUCAUACAUUCAAUAAUAAUGGUAGCCAUAAAAUAUCUUAUAGGUAAUUUAUAUCCUAAUCAUUUCCCUACUACAUUAUUUUGUAAAGUGUCGAAUUAAUUAAUUAGCUAAACGCUAAGGAAAAAUUAACACAUAACCAAACUAUAGUGCUUCAGACCCAUUGAAUUCUAUUUCGACAUAUAAAUUUCAAAAAUCAAAACCUGCAAUGCCGGCUCUCUUCGUUUCAAAAGUGCGGCGAUGUACUCUAAACUUGCGAAAAAUGGCGGAGAAAAACAACAAACAAACUUCAAGUCGUAGCAGAAUGGCUUAAAGCACUUGCAUCUAAGUAAGGAAAGACAUAAUACUUGAUAAUAAUAUUGGUAUCAAAUCCAAUAUAGAAUCAUCUAAUUUUAUUUAUGCUAUUCAAGUAAAACAACAUGAACUUUGCCACAAAUUUGACAGUCUUUUUUUUUUUCUUUUCAAAGGUUCAAAUAGCUCAACUGAGCAGACAUGGAGCAAUGUGUAAUGUAACUGUAGAUAUGUUGACAACAUAAAGAGAAAUAACUCAAGUCACCCUUGAGGAGAUUAGAAGCUGUGAGUAUGCACAACAGCAAGUCAGGAUUACGAGAUUGUGAUGCUGAUGCAUAAUAUAUGAAUGCUUAUCAUAGUUAUAAGUAUUUCAUUUUCCUGUUGUAAUGCUUGGACAUGUUUAAGCAUCCAAAGAGGCAUAAGCAAGCAGCACUUCAUUUUCUUCCAAUAGUGACAUGUCCAACUCGGAAUCUUUUAGGAUAAGAUGUGCAUGUAUUCCAUUACCAUCUUCCAUGUCUGUUAAUAUCAAGAUGUUGAGAUUUAGCCCUGGAGUGGUUCCUGGGUAUACCAACGAAGGUGUUCCCCAGCCAAAAUCAACGCCAUAAAAUGGGAACCUACACCAGCUUGAGCACCCGUACAAGUCAGAGUUGUGUGUUUCAGUUGCUGCAGUACUCAGCGGUGCUGAGUGGGAUGCUUCUUGCCUACUAAGAAUGGAAUUGAUGUUUUCUGUGCACUCCUUGAGCAAUUUUGUUUUCCCUUCCCUUAGUUUAUUAACUAACUCUGGUAAUUUAACUUCAGCAUUGUUGUCAACUGAUGUCGGAAAUAGGCAAAAAAAUUCCCAACUGAAUUUUGUGGAAGUGGAGGGACAAUUAUUUGUCGAAAAUUCACAGCAUUCACGAAGAUUGAUGGGCGGCUGUGUGAUCCCGAGUUUGCCUUUGACGCUGCAGACAUAAAACAACCGUAAAGUAGGGCUGACACAACUUCAAACCGAGUAGGGUUUUCUACUCCUGAGUUAAGAGCAAUAGCCUUGAGUUCUCCAAUUUUAGAAGCAUGGAACGCCAAAAUCCUUUUCACGUGCUUCCCUUGAUCUAGC
rnacentral:lncRNA from 1 species